UACAGAGGUCUCAAGCGUUGUUCGGAUUCAUUGGGCGUAAAGGGUGCGUAGGCGGCGCGGUAAGUCGGGUGUGAAAUCUCGGGGCUUAACUCCGAAACUGCAUUCGAUACUGCCGUGCUUGAGGACUGGAGAGGAGACUGGAAUUUACGGUGUAGCGGUGAAAUGCGUAGAUAUCGAGAGGAACACCAGUGGCGAAGGCGAGUCUCUAGACAACUCCUGACACUGAGGCACGAAAGCUAGGGGAGCAAACAGG
rnacentral:rRNA from 1 species